AGAGCAUUAUCCAGUUUGGAUUAUCAGCAUCAUCUGGGUCUCUCGCCACCAUCCAUGUCGUCAUUAAACCGGGCUAUCCUGACUCUGAAGAGUGCUACCACAAGGUCUACAGGCAUCUCAGCUCAAAUAUGAAUCAAGGAGGUCAAGCAAUCUUUGGAUCCCUCACCAGUGAUGUCGAUGACAUCAAAAUGACAGUGGGAAGUGGGGUGAAACUACAGCUGGUG